rnacentral:rRNA from 1 species
AUUGAACGCUGGCGGCAGGCUUAACACAUGCAAGUCGAACGAAGUGGCGAACGGGUGAGUAACGCGUAAUCAACCUGCCCUUCAGAGGGGGACAACAGUUGGAAACGACUGCUAAUACCGCAUACUGAAGGAGGGGAUGGAGGUUGAUUAGCUAGUGGGAUGGGUAAAGGCCAACCAAGGCGAUGAUCAGUAGCCGGUCUGAGAGGAGGAACGGCCACAUUGGGACUGAGACACGGCCCAGACUCCGUCGGGAGGCAGCAGUGGGGAAUCUUCCGCAAUGGACGAAAGUCUGACGGAGCAACGCCGCGUGAGUGAUGACGGCCUUCGGGUUGUAAAGCUCUGUUAAUCGGGACGCGGUACCGGAAUAGAAAGCCACGGCUAACUACGUGCCAGCCGCCGCGGUAAUAC